GUGUGGAUAUACACUCAGAGUAACAUCACAAGCAUCAUAUUCACCUGAGUAUAUUACACCAACACAGAAAAAAAUUAUGGUCAUUAUUUUAUUCAAAAUCUUAGCGCUUAUUGCCUGAUCAUAUAGAGAUGCAUGUUUCUGAAAACUCAUGACUGCGGUAUUAAGUGAAUUAGUAUAAAUUCAUGUAGAUGACUAUUGUAUCACCUUAUGCAACCAAGACUGAAUAAAAAAGUAAGACAAAUCAGUGCGUAAGCACGGUAUCAAGUUAAUCAUUACUCCGUUCAGGGAAAAAAAUAUAACUGUCACGUGUGUGUCUUGCAGCAACACUUUUGCCUCUCUACUAACAGCAUAUUCCUUAACGAUAUGAUAAUCUGGAAAGAACUAAUUGUAUUACUUUUUAUUUGAGUUUAUCUUAAUAUUUCUGGUUACAGUAAUUGAAUAGAUUAUAUUGUGCUUUCGUAUGAAGUUGAGGCAUUAAUGAAGUUGAGGAAUAGGAUUUGUGCACGGUGAAGUGAAAUUCAACAUUCAUGUCACUGUUCAAUGGCGCGUAAUCUUGCAGCACGUCAUUGCUAGCUGUCAGAAAGUUCAAAAACGCGUUCAGAAUUUGGAAGGGAACAACAUUGAAUUUCGUCCCAAAAGACGCACUGAGAAAAACAUACGAAAUGAAAUAUUGAUAUAAUAAUAAAUAUAUCUGAACCAGUUAGGUUUCCGUAUGGAAUAUAACUCUGCUCUUAAUUCAAAGAUCCUGUUAAUUGAUGCUCACGCAUGGGCAUAUCCUGUUAAUUAUGACUCCGGUUUUGACGGUGUGGA